CCGGAGAGGGAGCCUGAGAAACGGCUACCACAUCCAAGGAAGGCAGCAGGCGCGCAAAUUACCCAAUCCCGAUACGGGGAGGUAGUGACAAUAAAUAACAAUACAGGGCUUUAUAGUCUUGUAAUUGGAAUGAGUACAAUUUAAAUCUCUUAACGAGGAACAAUUGGAGGGCAAGUCUGGUGCCAGCAGCCGCGGUAAUUCCAGCUCCAAUAGCGUAUAUUAAAGUUGUUGCAGUUAAAAAGCUCGUAGUUGAAUUUUAGGCCUGGUUGGACGGUCUGCUCUAG
rnacentral:rRNA from 1 species